rnacentral:lncRNA from 1 species
AUAGCAUUCAGAAGAAGAACCAAAUUAGAUAGGUGGCAGGAAUAAUGAGAUAACUAUUGAUAUCCUGAAUUUGAGAUGACCCAUUGGCUGUUCACAAGAAAAUGUCCAAUUCACAAAUUAAAUAAAUAGCUGCAGUGUGAUUACAGAGGGAGAAAAUGGAAAUAAUGACUUUGAGAUAAUAUGUUUUAGAAGCCUAAAUGAGAAGGGAAGGCAGAGUUUAUGUGGUAACAGAGAGAAUCAAGAAGGGUAUUGUUUUCCUUUUUUCAGAUUUUUAAAGAUGAUGUGUUCAUCAGGGGUCCACCAGUCAAGCAAAAAUAGUAGCAUAUGAAGGUAUUUGUUAAAGAAAUUGGCUUAUGUGAUUGUGGGGAUUGGAUAGGAAAGUCCAAAAUAUGUAUAGCAGACUUGAAACUCUCAGGCAGAAACUGAAGGAGCAGUCCAUAGUGGAAUUUCAUCUUCUUCCUUCUUGUCUUUAGGGAAACCUGUUUUAAGUCCUUUCAACUAAUUGAAUCAGGCUCACUCAAAUUACUUGGGGUACUCUCCUUUGCAUAAAGUCAACAAAUUGUGGAUGUUAAUCACAUCUACAGAAUACUUUCACAGCAACACUUAGAUUAGUGUUUGGUUGAAUAACUAGGUACUGUGUAACCUAGCCAAGUUGAUUCAUGAAACUGGCCAUUGCAAAUGGAAAAUCACUUGAUCGUAUACAUGCUAAGAAGAAGGAAACAAAAAAGAGUAAGAAAAGCUGGACAUACUCAAGAGACAAAAGGAAGAUAAUUGAUGGACAAGACCCAUUCCAUUACUCAUUCAACAAAGUAUUUGACUAGCACCAUAUCAAGUACCAGAGGUGACAACAGGAAUGUAUCGAG